AUUGAACGCUGGCGGCAGGCCUAACACAUGCAAGUCGAACGGUAACAGGAAGCAGCUUGCUGCUUUGCUGACGAGUGGCGGACGGGUGAGUAAUGUCUGGGAAACUGCCCGAUGGAGGGGGAUAACUACUGGAAACGGUAGCUAAUACCGCAUAACGUCGCAAGACCAAAGAGGGGGACCUUAGGGCCUCUUGCCAUCGGAUGUGCCCAGAUGGGAUUAGCUAGUAGGUGGGGUAACGGCUCACCUAGGCGACGAUCCCUAGCUGGUCUGAGAGGAUGACCAGCCACACUGGAACUGAGACACGGUCCAGACUCCUACGGGAGGCAGCAGUGGGGAAUAUUGCACAAUAGGCGCAAGCCUGAUGCAGCCAUGCCGCGUGUAUGAAGAAGGCCUUCGGGUUGUAAAGUACUUUCAGCGGGGAGGAAGGGAGUAAAGUUAAUACCUUUGCUCAUUGACGUUACCCGCAGAAGAAGCACCGGCUAACUCCGUG
rnacentral:rRNA from 1 species